GCCCCGCGUUUCACCACGCAGUGCCUGGGUAGCUUCAUGUGCCUUCAGGUGCUGCCUUGGCUCUUCAAAAGCUGCUUGUUGGAAGGGAGAAAUCCAGUUGCAGAGGGGUUUAACGGCUGCAAAAGCGUUUGGAGAGAACCUGAAGGAUUAGUCAGAAAGCUCUUCUCUCUGUGACACUGAUAGCAAUGUGGAAGACAAGCAUCUACAAGCUCCGUCUUGAAUGACAUCAGUGUGGUACAUCCAGUUUCUUAUGCAACUGAUUCUUCAUCAGAACAUGUCAGUGUUUGCUGCUGCUUCUUUUCACUUAAACUGCAGGUCUGGAAGUGCACUGAUUAAGCUAAGAACUUCAUUAUCUCCAAAAAACUUGAUGCGAGGGAGUCUAUCCAGAUAAUACAUUGUGAAGCCAUUAUCCAUUCAUAAGGAGGUAAUUAAAAGUAAAUGUCUUCAGUCAGUGGAGCUGGAUAACUUGCAUUUCAGAAAUUAAGAGAAGUGCUGAAGAAUUGUUAUGACCAAUAAUGCUGGGCACUAGAAAAGUUUCAGGGGGAUGUUGUCAAGCUGGUAGUUAAAAACACAAUGGGGACAAGCUGGGUGGACAACUGGUCAGUCUGUCUUUAAUCCAGAAAUCAGAACACCUAAUACAUUCUUCUGUCAGCAAAUAAAGAAUUAAAGGAGAGAAAUGUAAUUAAUGCAAUUCAAAUAGCAUAAUGGAAAUCAGUGCUAAGCUUGCAGCCAGCUCUUGGCUGCCCUUUUCCCCAGGAGCUGCCUGGUUAGGGGGAUGGUCAGGCUGAGAGAAAGUUCCAGCUCCAAGAGGUGACAGAACUAACAGCAUAGCAGUUGGGAGAUCAAACUUAUAAAACUAAGUAAGUGUAACACUGCUAAUUGGGGAUGCGUGACAUACCCAUGAUCCAGAAAGUACCUGAUUAUUGGAAGCGACAUUUAAGCACCUAAAAACCCCCGUGUUCACGUGAAAGCUUCAAAACACCUGUGUGGGUGGCUGUCCAGUCCUGAAAAUGCUGUUACCUUUUUAACUGAUGAUGCUAACACUGCCCCGGUGCAGGCGUGCAUUGUGUUGAUAUCUCUGGGUCUGAAUGGUUGUCAUCCAUCUUCUGUGCAACGGGCUCUUGGAAAGGGCUGGUCUUGGAGAUUCGAUAAUGGGAGUGUUCCUCAUUGCCAAGAUGCACUCUCACAGUCUGAAUUUGAAACUGGUACUAAAACAGCAGUUAUGGCUAUUGCUUCCCUUUACUGGAAUAGCACAGUGGUCAGAAGCGUGUGUGGGUAGUGGGAAUCCAGCCCCACACACUGCAGGGAUGGGGAAAGCAGCCUCGCACCACCCCAGCACUCCUCCUGUGCUGCCUCCCCAAUAUACAGUGCUGCUGUGGGUGCAGCGAGGAGCCAAGUGCCAGGAAAAGGCAAAUUGAGAAGAUGGAUGGCUGUAAUCUAGUGACCAGACCAUUGGGGAAGUACUUUGCUUCCCAGAUGUGUAAGUGUUACAAAGAGCAGCAGAUGAAAGCACCAGUAGUACUCCCAAGAGCAGAUGCUAACAUCACUACUUGAAAAGAAUUCUUACAUUUGUCUCUUUUCUGAAAUAAGACUGGUGUGGUGGAUGUGGAAAUGAAGACAUUCUUCAUGUUUGCUAGUUCAAGGAGAAUCCCAUUUGAUUCAGUAUCUGCACUGAAUUGCCAAGCCUCUGUAAAUACCACAGGUAAAGCCUGGAGGUAACUUUGUUGCGGGGAUACAAAUGUGUGUAUUUGAAUUGCACCCUGCAGAGAGAGUCCCAGUGUUUUUGCUGCAGUGUCUGUGUUACAACACCCAUGUCCUUUUUAUCUUCCAAACAAAAAACAACCCUUUCACACUCUUUAGUCUUCCCACACACAUUCUCUGGACAGCAUGAUAGCAGUUUGGCUCUGCUGAGCCAAACACUGCAACCUGAGAAGAGCUUGUGUAUGCAGUGAUAGUGCUUAUAGUAUCUGGUUUGUAUUAUCACUGGAUGGGUUUGACUGUGGUAUGCUAUGUACACAUAACCAAUGGUACAUGCCAAAGCCUGGAUUUUGGAAAGACAAAAGUCACUGACUUCACAU
ensembl:lncRNA